CAGAUUCGUUUGUCCGGUUUGGCUACAGGCUAGAGGAAUCUAUUCCACAAAACUUAAAUUGGUUACAGGCGUAGGUGUUGUAGUUAAUGACAAAAAGGGAGGAAGACGUGAGGAAUCAUAUCGGUGUUGGAUUCGCUAGAUGUAAGCAACUGUAUGAGCCAAGGAGGACCUGCCAGGAUGUUUGCGUGGGUGUGGCUGACGGUUGGGUCGUCGUACCAGUAGUCGUUCUUGCUCCCUGGAGGUUACUGUCUACGCCAAUUAGGAGAAACUCCCACUGGUGGCCUCCAUUCGCUGACACAGCGGUACAUGGUAAUUUUUUCUUAUGCACUAGGGAGCAUCUGCAAAUAGGAUUCUAUAUGUCCACUGCCUACUAUAGAUUCUAAAGGUACGAUCCUUCCAGGUUUAAGGGGCAUGGCAUGUUCGCACUUUCCACAGGACAUAUCAUGUCGUGGCUUUCUCACGCCAGCAUUACAUUUUUUAGUUAUAUUAUGAUGUAGCACUUGAUUUUGGAAAUUCAAGCUAAUAUGUCUAACUGCUCUAUACCAUGUUGGUGAACUAUAAUAUAUCUAGGUUUGCCUGAUAAUGUUAAUGUGUACAUGCGGUAUUAUGAUGUAGCACUUGAUUUUGAAAAUUCAAGCUAAUAUGUCUAACUGCUCUAUACCAUGUUGGUGAACUAUAAUAUAUCUAGGUUUGCCUGAUAAUGUUAAUGUGUACAUGCGGGGUUCUUACAUCUAUAAUAUCCUCUGUCAGUAUUGGUUCUCUUUCAACCCAUGUCCAUGGAAAAGCCACAAGAAUCCUAAUUGUCUUUAUACCCUAAAUCCCCCAAAGUGAAUCCUAAGUGUUUUUUCUUAGUUUCCCCUUCACAGUGUAGUUCACAAAGAAUUGAAUCUGCAAUACCUUUUUCUAGGUUAUACAUGUACAUUGCAGCUGUUGUCAUUCUCUGUUUUUUGUAUGUUGAAACCAUGC